GUGCUCACUUUGACAGCACAUAAAUUAAAAUUGGAACAAUACAGAGAAGAUCAGCACGGCCCCUGUGCAAGGAUGACAUGCAAAUUUGUGAAGUAUUCCAUAUUUUU